rnacentral:rRNA from 1 species
AGCGAACGCUGGCGGCAGGCCUAACACAUGCAAGUCGAGCGGGCAUCGCAAGAUGUCAGCGGCAGACGGGAGAGUAACACGUGGGAACGUGCCCUUCAGUUCGGAACAACCCAGGGAAACUUGGGCUGAUACCGGAUACGUCCGUAAGGAGAAAGAUUUAUCGCUGAAGGAUCGGCCCGCGUCUGAUUAGCUAGUUGGUGGGGUAAUGGCCCACCAAGGCGACGAUCAGUAGCUGGUCUGAGAGGAUGAUCAGCCUCACUGGGACUGAGACACGGCCCAGACUCCUACGGGAGGCAGCAGUGGGGAAUAUUGGACAAUGGGCGCAAGCCUGAUCCAGCCAUGCCGCGUGGGUGAUGAAGGCCCUAGGGUUGUAAAGCCCUUUCGGCGGGGAAGAUAAUGACGGUACCCGCAGAAGAAGCCCCGGCUAACUUCGUGCCAGCAGCCGCGGUAAUACGAAGGGGGCUAGCGUUGCUCGGAAUCACUGGGCGUAAAGCGCACGUAGGCGGCUUCUUAAGUCAGGGGUGAAAUCCUGGAGCUCAACUCCAGAACUGCCUUUGAUACUGAGGGGCUUGAGUUCGGGAGAGGUGAGUGGAACUGCGAGUGUAGAGGUGAAAUUCGUAGAUAUUCGCAAGAACACCAGUGGCGAAGGCGGCUCACUGGCCCGGUACUGACGCUGAGGUGCGAAAGCGUGG